UACGAAGGGUGCAAGCGUUAAUCGGAAUUACUGGGCGUAAAGCGUGCGUAGGCGGUUUCUUAAGUCCGUUGUGAAAGCCCUGGGCUCAACCUGGGAACUGCGAUGGAUACUGAGGAGCUGGAGUACGGUAGAGGAAGGUGGAAUUCCCGGUGUAGCGGUGAAAUUCGUAGAUAUUCGCAAGAACACCAGUGGCGAAGGCGGCUCACUGGCCCGGUACUGACGCUGAGGUGCGAAAGCGUGGGGAGCAAACAGG
rnacentral:rRNA from 1 species